UACAGAGGGGGCAAGCGUUAUUCGGAAUUAUUGGGCGUAAAGGGCGCGUAGGCGGCCUGGCAAGUGGAAGGUGAAAUCCCUCGGCUUAACCGAGGAACUGCCCUCCAAACUGCUAGGCUUGAGUCCGGGAGAGGUGAGUGGAAUUCCCAGUGUAGCGGUGAAAUGCGUAGAUAUUGGGAGGAACACCAGUGGCGAAGGCGGCUCACUGGACCGGAACUGACGCUGAGGCGCGAAAGCUAGGGGAGCAAACAGG
rnacentral:rRNA from 1 species